AAGGCAGUGGAUUGUGAAUCCACCAUGCGCGGGUUCAAUUCCCGUCGYUCGCC
rnacentral:tRNA from 1 species